UCUCUCGUAGCUUAGUGAUCAGAACAUUGGUGUGUAAAACCAAAGGUGCCGGGUUCAAUCCCCGGCGAGGGUG
rnacentral:tRNA from 1 species